GUCUGCAACCCGACUACAUGAAGCUGGAAUCGCUAGUAAUCGCGGAUCAGAAUGCCGCGGUGAAUACGUUCCCGGGUCUUGUACACACCGCCCGUCACACCAUGGGAGUCGGAAAUGCCCGAAGUCUGUGACCUAACCGAGAGGGAGGAGCAGCCGAAGGCAGGUCUGAUGACUGGGGUGAAGUCGUAACAAGGUAUC
rnacentral:rRNA from 1 species